GCAGCAUCCGAUGGGGCCGCUCCUUCUGGCUGACGCAACUGGGGCAUGCUUUAUCUGCUUCUUCAGCUCAUUGAUCUCGUCCUGGAUCGUCCUUACGCUACGCCAUUGCCAACCAGACACCAAGCCCACAGCGUAUUGAAGAACA